rnacentral:misc_RNA from 1 species
GUGAAUCAUCGAAUCUUUGAACGCAAAUUGCGCUCUUGGGACAUUCCUAAGAGCAUAUCUGUUUGAGUAUCAGUAACAUCCUCACAAACCAACCUUGGUUGGAAUGUGGCAUUGAGUGUUCAAGGCGCAAGUCUUGUCUCUUGGAACUGAUUCGGCAUCGGCUAAAGGAAACUUUACAUAUCGAAGGCGAGCUAAAGAACAGUUGUUCUAAUUAGUCGGAAAUAUGUUUGGGGAUUUAGCAGAAGCUGUUCAAAAAAAUACUUGUUCUUUUGAACUUGUGAACUUGAUCUCAAAUCAGAU